rnacentral:rRNA from 1 species
UACGUGCCAGCAGUCGCGGUAAUACGUAAAAGACUAGUGUUAUUCAUCUUUAAUAGGUUUAAAGGGUACUUAGACGGUAAAUCAAGCCCGAAUAGGGAACUAAUAUACUAGAGUUUGAUGUAAGGAAGCAUGAAAGUACUGUUGGUGUAGAGAUAAAAUUCUAUCAUACCAAAUAUGGCACAGGUUUAGGCGAAAGCAUCUUCUUAUGUAAUAACUGACGUUGAAGGACGAAGGCUUUGUGUCUCGAACAGGAUUAGAUACCCCAGUAGUCUAAGCAGACAAUGAUGAAUGUCAUAGAUUAGAUUUCAUUUAUUCUAUAAAUGAAAGUGUAAGCAUUCCACCUCAAGAGUAAUUUGGCAACAUUGGAACUGAAAUCAUUAGACCGUAUCUGAAACCAGUAGUGAAGUAUGUUGUUUAAUUAGAUGGUACGCAAAAAACCUUACCACAAUUUGAAUUAGUAAUUUGUUUUCACAAGCGCUGCACGGCUGUCUACAGUUAAUGUCGUGAGAUUUUGGUUAGUUCCAUUAAAUUAACGCAAACCCUUACUUUAUUUUAAAUAUAAAGUAGUUCACCGCCAUAUUGGAUACGAUAAAAGGGAACAAGACAAGUCAUCAUGGCCUUAAUAUUGUGGGCUAUAGACGUUGCCACAU